GAUGAACGCUAGCUACAGGCUUAACACAUGCAAGUCGAGGGGCAGCAUGGUCUUAGCUUGCUAAGGCCGAUGGCGACCGGCGCACGGGUGCGUAACGCGUAUGCAACCUACCUUUAACAGGGGCAUAACACUGAGAAAUUGGUACUAAUUCCCCAUAACAUUCGAGAAGGCAUCUUCUUGGGUUAAAAACUCCGGUGGUUAAAGAUGGGCAUGCGUUGUAUUAGCUAGUUGGUGAGGUAACGGCUCACCAAGGCAACGAUACAUAGGGGGGACUGAGA
rnacentral:rRNA from 1 species